rnacentral:rRNA from 1 species
GACGAACGCUGGCGGCGUGCUUAACACAUGCAAGUCGAACGGUCAAGCGCGAGCUUGCUGGCGCGAGCGAGUGGCGAACGGGUGAGUAACGCGUGAGGAACCUGCCCCUAAGUGUGGGACAACAGCUGGAAACGGCGGCUAAUACCGCAUAAGCGCACGGCCCGCCUUGGGGCGGUGGGAAAAGUGGUGCGGUUGGGUAUGGGCUCGCGGCGUCUCAGCUUCUUGGUGGGGUAGUGGCGGACCAAGGCGGCGACGGGUAGCCGGCCUGAGGGGGUGACCGGCCACGCUGGAACUGAAAUACGGCCCAGACUCCUACGGGACGCAGCAGUGCGGAAUAUUGCACUAUGGGAGGAAGCCUGAUGCAGCGACGCCGCGUGGGGGAUAGGGGGCUUCGGGUUGUAUACCACUUUCCGCUGGGAGGAAGCGAUAGUGACGGUACCCGACAAAGAAGCAACGGCUAACUACGUG